UGGGGAAUAUUGCACAAUGGGCGAAAGCCUGAUGCAGCAACGCCGCGUGCGGGAUGACGGCCUUCGGGUUGUAAACCGCUUUCAGCAGGGACGAAGCGAAAGUGACGGUACCUGCAGAAGAAGCACCGGCCAACUACGUGCCAGCAGCCGCGGUGAUACGUAGGGUGCAAGCGUUGUCCGGAAUUAUUGGGCGUAAAGGGCUCGUAGGCGGUCUGUCACGUCGGAAGUGAAAACUCAGGGCUCAACCCUGAGCUGGCUUCCGAUACGGGCAGACUAGAGGAAGGUAGGGGAGAUCGGAAUUCCUGGUGGAGCGGUGGAAUGCGCAGAUAUCAGGAGGAACACCGGUGGCGAAGGCGGAUCUCUGGACCUUUCCUGACGCUGAGGAGCGAAAGCAUGGGGAGCAAACAGG
rnacentral:rRNA from 1 species